UAAAUUUUAGAAAUUUUAGGAACUGUAUUUACACCAGUUAAGCAGGAUAUUAGUGGAAACAUAGAGAAAUUGAAUAAGAUUCAUCAAUCUGAUAAAACAAAAUUUGAAACCAUAAAUGAUGUUAUUGCAUAUGAACUUGAAGAAA